UACGUAGGGUGCGAGCGUUGCCCGGAUUUAUUGGGCGUAAAGGGCGCGUAGGCGGUGAGAUGCGUCCGUUGUGAAAUCGCCCGGCUCAACUGGGCGGGGUCAGCGGAUACGGUGUGGCUAGAGCAAGCUAGGGGGCAAUGGAAUUCCCGGUGUAGUGGUGGAAUGCGUAGAUAUCGGGAGGAACACCAGUGGCGAAGGCGGUUGCCUGGAGCUUUGCUGACGCUGAUGCGCGAAAGCGUGGGGAGCGAUCCGG
rnacentral:rRNA from 1 species